rnacentral:rRNA from 1 species
UACGUAGGGUGCGAGCGUUAAUCGGAAUUACUGGGCGUAAAGCGUGCGCAGGCGGUUCGUUGUGUCGGUGGUGAAAGCCCCGGGCUUAACCUGGGAACUGCAUUUGUGACUGCAUGGCUAGAGUACGGUAGAGGGGGAUGGAAUUCCGCGUGUAGCAGUGAAAUGCGUAGAUAUGCGGAGGAACACCGAUGGCGAAGGCAAUCCCCUGGACCUGUACUGACGCUCAUGCACGAAAGCGUGGGGAGCAAACAGG